UACGUAGGGGGCAAGCGUUGUCCGGAAUCAUUGGGCGUAAAGGGUGCGUAGGCGGCGCGGUAAGUCGGGUGUGAAAUCUUGGAGCUUAACUCCGAAACUGCAUUCGAUACUGCCGUGCUUGAGGACUGGAGAGGAGACUGGAAUUUACGGUGUAGCGGUGAAAUGCGUAGAUAUCGUAAGGAAGACCAGUGGCGAAGGCGGGUCCCUGGACAGUUCCUGACGCUGAGGCACGAAGGUCAGGGGAGCAAACGGGG
rnacentral:rRNA from 1 species